UACUAGAGUAGCACUCGCAUAUCAAUAAGCGGAGGAAAAGAAACUAACAAGGAUUCCCCUAGUAACGGCGAGUGAAGCGGGAAGAGCUCAAAUUUGAAAUCUUAAAGGGUUUCCCUUUACGAAUUGUAGUUUAAAGAAGUGUUUUCUGUUGAGGUUUUGGUAAAAGUUCUUUGGAAUAGGACAUCAUAGAGGGUGAGAAUCCCGUAUUUGACCUUUACUUUCAACUUUGUGAUACACUUUCAAAGAGUCGGAUUGUUUGGGAAUGCAGUCCAAAAUGGGUGGUAAAUUUCAUCUAAAGCUAAAUAUUGGCGAGAGACCGAUAGCGAACAAGUACCGUGAGGGAAAGAUGAAAAGAACUUUGAAAAGAGAGUUAAACAGUACGUGAAGUUGUCAAAAGGGAAGCGUUUGACACCAGUGUUGUUUUUCUGAAAAUCAAUUAAAGAACUGUUUAUGCUAAGUUGUUUAGACUUUAUCAGCUAUCUGCUUAGUUUUGAGCUUUUCUUUAAUGCACUUUUCAGUUAACAAGUCAACAUCAAUUUCUUUUGCUGUAAAAAAGCUUGAGGAAGGUGGCUUGAGAUUCGUCUUAAGUGUUUAUAGCCUCUUGCCUAUGCAGUCGGAGAGAUUGAGGUCUGCAGCGUAGAUCCUUCGGGGCUAAAUGCAUUUGUGCUAAGUUAUAGCAUUUUAUAGACAACUUGUUGACUAUGAUUUGUCUUGUAGCUUACUCGCUUAUGUUAUUUUACCUACGCUUAGGAUGUUGAACUACUGAGACAUAGA
rnacentral:rRNA from 1 species